GCUGCUCGUACUAGGAAGUUCCCCUUUAAAACGCGAAGUACGCAUGCGUCACAUCCUUUCUUCCCAAGAGUGGAAGAAUCUGGUCACAGGUCCUACGCGUUGCAGGAGCCAGAUGAUCGCUGCAGCCAAUGGAAGGGAUCAUGGCAUUUGCCACUGGAAAUGGGUGACAUGGGAACUGCAGAGGAGUUAAAAACUGGUAAUUUUAAAAUGGGUAUGCAUGC
rnacentral:lncRNA from 1 species